UUGACCUCAAAUCAGGUAGGACUACCCGCUGAACUUAAGCAUAUCAAUAAGCGGAGGAGAAAAAACUAACAAGGAUUCCCCUAGUAACGGCGAGUGAAGCGGGAUGAGCUCAAAUUUGAAAGCUGGCACCUUUGGUGUCCGCAUUGUAAUCUCGAGAAGUAGUUUCUGUGCUGGACCAUGUACAAGUUCCUUGGAAUAGGACAUCAGAGAGGGUGAGAAUCCCGUACUUGACAUGGAUCCCAGUGCUUUGUGAUCUGCUCUCUAUGAGUCGAGUUGUUUGGGAAUGCAGCUCAAAAUGGGUGGUAAAUUCCAUCUAAAGCUAAAUAUUGGGGAGAGACCGAUAGCGAACAAGUACCGUGAGGGAAAGAUGAAAAGCACUUUGGAAAGAGAGUUAAACAGUACGUGAAAUUGUCAAAAGGGAAGCGCUUGAGGUUAGACAUGCAUGCAGUAUUCAACCUUUCUUUUGGAGGGUGUAUUUGCUGUUUUGCAGGCCAGCAUCGGUUUUGUCUGCUGGAUAAUAGUAGGAGAAAUGUGGCAUCCUCGGAUG
rnacentral:rRNA from 1 species